CGGUCACACCAGCAGCCCAAGUGGUGGUCGCCGAUUAUUGGGCUCUAAAGCGCUCGUAGCCGGGUCAGCAAGUCCCUUGUGAAAUCGGGCGGCCCUACCGUUCGGCUUGCAAGGGAUACUGUUGAUCUUGAGGCCGAGAGACGUCUGAGGUACUCCGGGGGUAGCGGUGAUAAUGCUCUAAUCCUCGGGGGACCACCAGUGGCGAAGGCGUCAGACGAGAGCGGACCUGACGGUGAGGGGCGCAAGGUCUAGGGGCGCGAACGGGAUUAGAUACCCCGGUAGUCCUAGCUGUAAAGCAUGCGGGCUAGGUGUCUGGUGUUCCUCGUGAGCACCAGGUGCCGGAGGGAAGCCGUUAAGCCCGCCGCCUGGGAAGUACGGCCGCAAGGCUGAAACUCAGCCUUUUUCUUUCUUGAGAAGAAAGAAAAACGUUGGCGAAAAAGAAAGAAACAUGUUUGUCUAAACAUGUAUGAAUUUGCGAAAGCAAAUUCCUUUUCUUUCCAUCAACGCUUUCUUUUCAAUUGUAUACUACGCCGAGAAACUCACCAGGGGCGACAGCAGAAUGAUGGUCAGGUUAAAGUUCUUACCUAACAAGCUGAGAGGUAGUGCAUGGCCGUCGUCAGCUCGUACUGUGAAGCGUACGGUUAAGUCCGCUAACGAGCGAGACCCGCGCCAUUAUUUGCUAACUUAAUCGAGAGAUUAAGCGCACUAUAAUGGGACCGCUGGCGAUGAGUCAGAGGAAGGUGCGGUCAACGGUAGGUCUGUAUGCUCCGAAUCUCCUGGGCUACACGUGGACUACAAUGGCGUAGACAAUGGGUUGCAACUCCGAAAGGAAGAGCUAAUCCCCUAAACUACGUCUUAGUUCGGAUCGAGCCUUGCAACUCAGGCUCGUGAAGCUAAAAUCCCUAGUAAUCGCUGGUAACUAUCCAGCGGUGAAUAUGUCCCUGUCUCCUUGCACACACCGUCCCGUCACACCAAUCGAGUGUAUUUAGAGUCGAGGCACUCUCUUUUGUGAGUGUCGAGUUUUAGU
rnacentral:rRNA from 1 species